AAAGACCCAUGUCUGCCAUCUUCAACCUAGAGACAACAACGAAACCCUAGUCCCCAUAACCACUAGCAAUGCCGCCCACCACAUCCAAGCCAUACCAAACCUUCAGCUUCAUCUUCCUCACACAUUACACAAAAAACACAAACCCUAGAUGAACCUUUCUUUUUUAAGAAGACAAGAGCUGAACUCAAAUCGUCACUCCUCACAAACCCAUGGAUGCCUUCCUCGUCUUCCUGAGCUGAACGACCAGACGAUCCCACCCUGACCUCUCUUUGCGACCAGCUGCUCACAGUCGCCGACCACCACCAGCCCUUCAGCCGCCCAGCUCCACCCUAGUUCUGCCGCGACCAGACUCUCACCAAAAAUGACCCCUGAUCUUCAACAACAAUAGACACCGAACCACACAGCUUCACCUUCUUCAGAAACACACACACACAACCAUAGACGAAUAAGAUCGAAGGGGACAGAAAAUCGACGGGAAACAAUAUAAAAAAAAUUCCAGUUUUCUGCUUUUCAAAUCCGAAAAAUACACCCCAGUCUCUGAUUUUUUAUCUUCUCAUGGAGUGGACUUGAAUUCGAGAUCGGAGUUCCGUCGAGGUUGAUGCCGAGUCUAGUUUCCAUCCACGUUUCGUUGAGCUUAAAACAGUGAUACAAUUGCCUUUCAGCUAUAUUGGAGGUCUAUUCUUCCCUUUCCUCAUUGUUCUUUUACUGGAUAUCAUGAUAUUGCUAAUCCUAUUAAUUUGUUGUUAUCGUGUGUUUGUUGAUUGAGAUGAAUUGGUCUGGUUUUUGUUUUCAUUAAAUUGGAGAUUGAAUUAUUUGGCUUUGAAACUAAGUUUAGUUAUGCUUUAUUUGUGUGAAUCGAUAGGAGCAUGCUCAGGCCGACCACACUUGGGUAGGCAAGUCUUAGGAUUUUAUUAGUUUUGAUGCGAGAGGUUGUUCCCCUAGUUAAAUUUAUCCGGAGAAUACCCCGAAGGAUUUGUAUGUAUUUUAUUCCGGGGAAUACCCCGUAGUAUUCUGUAUUUGGAGGCCGAUAGUAGAGUUAGUAGUAUCUUUGUUUUUUUAUUUUUGUUUUUCUUUUAUUAGGUGGUGACGACCUCAAACCUCGUGUGUUAAAUUUUGCUUUUUCUGUAUUUUUCACCUCAACUUGAACAUUUUAAAAGCCGAUUAGAUCAAGUAUGCAACCGUACUAGUUACGGGACUUGGGGAGUGCCUAACACCUUCUUCUCGAGUCAAAUGAAACCCCUUACCAAAUCUCUGGUGUAGACUUAGUUUUGGAGUCUCAAGUGUUUUGAAAGGAAAAUUAUUUUUCGAAAAAACGGUGACCUGACACACCAAAAUCAAAUGUUAGGUGGCGACUCUGAGUUAUUUUCUUUUGAAUAUAAUUUUGUCACGUUCUAAUUGGAAAACCCUUUUUCAAGCCCUACAAAAUCUUUUUAUUUAUUAAGAAGGUUAAGUGAGGUUUGGUAAAAAAAAGAGGUGUGACACUUAUGUGCUUUUCUUGUUAUACUAAUAGCGGCAGAUCUAUUAGUAAACAGGAGCCGCUAUCGCUCACCCGACUGAAAUCUGACGGAUAGAUAGCUAUUCUAUAAAAAAUCAAGACAAAAAGAAAGCAAGAAAAGGAUAGCAAUUGCUUUGGGAACGUUACAGGGGAGGAAGAUAGAACGGUAACCUAUGACACCGAGGUGAGAAGAGUUGAGAACAAAGUGGCGAUUGGGUGCGUAACGCAUGGGAAUCUGUCCGCCCGGUGCACAAAGCAUCUCGCAUUUACGUAAGAUUUAUAAAAAUGCCGCAUUUCAAGAGAUGUAAUGAAUAUUAGUGACUAUUUUUACGGCUCGAACCCGUAACUUAUAGUUCACACGAAAAUAAUUUUACAUUGCUCGAAAGCUCUAAAGAUAUAUACAUUGUUACUAUAAAAAUUCUUCUUCUUUCUUUUUCUUCGGCAUGCAAAGAGUUUUGAUAUGCACUAUGCUAAAUAAGUUUGUUAAAAUUAGUGGAACUCCUUAUAAAAUAAGUAAUUAUUUAUUAAGCCUUCCCUUAUGCGCUUGAUUUUUCUUUUGCUAAUUAAUACCUUCUUAAGGGUUAAUUCCUUUGAUUUAAUUUACAUGCAUCAAAUAAUUGUAGUUUUUUUGUCUUCCUUUCAAAUGUAACCUAACAAAAAAUGUUGGACUUUAGACUUGCAUUAAUUGGUUAUAGCUGAAAGGAUAGUGAUAUAGCUUAAGUGGUAGAUAAAUAAAAGGCCUAAUAUUAAAUAUUAUGUGUGUGGAUAAGUGAAGAUCAAUAACAAUUUACGUGUGAUGGGUAGACACUCUUUAUAAAUAGAGAUCAAUCCCUCUUUCCCUAGCUAUUAGAAAACCCUAGCGUAUUCUGCCUCUUGAAUACAUGGUAACGGUAGACGUCCCAUCAAUCAAGUUCUCCGGACUAUGAGAGCAUGUAGCUAGUGGAUUGUGGAAGUUGGUCAGGUUUAAUUUCCGAUCACUAUCGUUAUUGUGUUGAUGAAGUUGAACGGUACGCUUCCUUACACUUUAACUCUAGAUUAUGUUUAUGCUUGUGUCUUAAUUUCUACUAUGGUUACUAUUUAAUAAUCUAACAAAAAACACAUGCUAAUGGUCUUCUACUAUUAUAAGAGGAAAAAGGUACAUUAAAGUUAUUUUUAUAUGAUCUAUUGUUUACGGGUUUAAAUCGUAAAAUUAGCUCCUAACACUUAGUUUAGGAUAAGCUACUUACAUUAUAUCUCAUGGGAUGCAAGCUGGUCUUGUACCUAAACGUGGAAUACUUCAUGCGUUGCCUCUUUAGUUAGGAAGAAAAUAUUGUCAAGCUAUAGGCUCGUCAUUUUCAGUAAACAUUUUCUUUUCCCCAUUUAUGAUAUUUGACUUGCUCUCGUCGAAAAUCUUUAAACAUUUCCUCUCCACCAUUGGUAGUUUACAUGCAUAUUCCCACCAAAAAUACGACUACAUGUGGUCACCCCACUCAAUGGCGGACACUAGUAUUACGAGAUGUGAAGGAAAGAGCAAAGAAUAGAUCCUACGCAUCCAAAGAGACCGGGCGUACGCAUAAUUUUUGGUAAACGAUGUUAAAAUUUAAAUGAAUAAAUAAAUCACUAUAAUAAAAAGCGAUGUUAUUUUUUAUAUUUAUACCCAAUAUUUUUGUUUUAUAUACUAUUUAUAUAUAUAUAUAUAAUAAAAAUUUCGACAAAACGGUGUCACGUGACACCGCUUGCCGCAUGAUGUAUCCGCUCCAGUAAAGAGAACCAAGAAGACAAAAAACAUAAUAUAAUUUGUAUCAUAAAUUGUUGAAGUAUAUUUGUGUGACUAUCUCAACUAAAAACAUAAAUUAUUCAAGAAAACAUACUUUUAUUUCUUUAGUUAUUUGGCUGAUAAACAUUUAGACUUUUAGCCGUGUAAUAAACAACUAAUUUUAAGUACCUAAAAAAUCUGACAGCUAAAUAUGAAAACAUGGAAAGUUGCAAAAGCAAGACGAAGUCACGUAUAUAUGAAUCUCUUAGUCCGUCAACGUCAAUAACUAUAAUUUCAUAAAAGACUGAUAAUGGUUUCUGAUAUCAGAUCCUCUUUUCCUUUUCUGUUUUAUGUUUAUACUUACCAAUUUUAGGCUAAUGUAGAGUCAGCUUAAUUUCCUUAUACGGAAUUGCAAACUGAGAAGUUCAGCUUUCAAUUGGUGCAUGAAAUUUCUCUGCAUUUCCCCUCUAUCGACUUUAAUGUAAAGUUUUUUGCUUAAAGAAAUAGGGAACAGAGUCAGAAAUUAUUAAGGAAGAGAAGAUAGAAGAUCCACUGUAAGUUCAGCUGUACGCGGGUGUAUUCGAUGUAUUCGUGCUAUUAUAUUCGUAAAUACAUUAGCAGAAAUCGCCUAAAAAUAGGGAAGUCCAGCUAUACGAGACUGUAUUCGCGCUAUUGUAAUUCACCUAAAUAACAGGGAAGUACAUCUGCUUAAUAACGGAAAGUGGAUCAAUUAGCGUGUAUCGCUCCUAAUUUAACUCAACAUAAUCAAUUUUACAUAAAUUUCGUUGACAUUGUACUGUAUUCGAGCCCAGUGCAUGGGGCUUGCCUUAUGCGCGGGGUUUACCCUUUUAUGUAGUUUGCAGGCUAUUAUACAAGAAUGAGGUUUAUCCUGUGCGCACCCGAAAGAUAGUGAUUGCGAAUUCCCUUAUUAACAAAUAAAAUAUAUUCGUAAGAAAAAGUAAGGUCUAGAAAGUUCAGUGGAUGGCAAUAGAAGAAUAUGCAGCUCAACUAAAGUGAACUCUCCAAAAAUAUUGUCAAAAUAUGUCUAGCUAAAAAAGACAAUGAAUACACUGGUUCUCUGCUGUUCUAACAACUACAGGACUUUCUGCUACCAAGUCUUAUUUGUACUAUAAUACAUGAUCAUAUGAUCAUUAAAAUACGUACUCUUUUAUGCAAUUAUGCAUAUGUUUGCAAUAAGGUUGUAAAAUAUUUUUCAAUUUUUUCA